GCCAUUUGAGCAAUUUACCUUGAGACCCCGCAGUUUCAUCCUCAGAAUUCAUUGCCGCGGUAACAUCUUACUUGGAACUUUAGAAUCCUGCAGACCACCAUUUGAUUUGCCCGAAUGUACGACUACACUGCAUAUUGCUCUGCUUAGACCCAAGCUGAAGAACAGGGCAUGCUUGAUUACUUGCAUACAUCUCAGUAUCACAAACCGAGCUUUCGCUUGGAUCUACAACUGCAAGGCUAGAACUGCAAGAGACACGCAUCCAAAUGUUCGAUUUCGUCGAGUCUGAAGUCCUCCAGCAUCUUGUUAAAAUCAAGGUAUACCCACCCAAUUUCCACUGCCGUUACAUCCGAAUGUGACCAGAAUCAAAAAUAGGAUAAUCUCACAAAAAAUAAGUCAGGACGUCUCUGCUCCUCCAUACAUACAGGUAGAAUUUUCCGUUGUUGGACAGCCGCAACAGGUUUACUUCCUAGAACUUAUUUCUCUAGCAUGUGACAGUAUAAAGCGAAUAGCCCUACAAACAAAGGGAAAACGCUCUCCCUCCAUUCGCUGAAGAUGGUCCUCAAUUUCACUUGGUAACAUCAUGAAUGGCGUUAGCCAAGUAGGCGACGCCUCCAUUCGCUGAAGAUGGUCCUCAAUUUGACUUGGUAACAUCAUGAAUGGCGUUAGCUAAGUAGGCGACGUUGCCCGUCGUUACACCGGCCAUGCUGAAAGAAGCGAUGCA
rnacentral:lncRNA from 1 species